CGGGGACGUGCUGUUGCAACUCGAGGGGAUCUCCCUAGGUCCUGGGGCCUCUCUCAAGAGGAAGGACCCUAAGGACCAUGAGAAGGAGAACCUGAGGCGGAUCAGGGAGAUUCAGAAGCGCUUCAGAGAACAGGAGCGCAGCCGGGAGCAGGGCCAGCCCAGGCCCCUGAAAGCUCUGUGGCGCUCACCCAAGUACGACAAGGUGGAGUCCCGGGUCAAGGCCCAGCUCCAGGAGCCAGGCCUGGGGGUGGACUUCAUUCGUCACA
rnacentral:lncRNA from 1 species